rnacentral:tRNA from 1 species
UGGGGCGUGGUCUAAUGGCAGGACACGGGAUUUUGGAUCCCGCGGUGGUGGUUCGAAUCCACCCGCCCCAG